rnacentral:rRNA from 1 species
UACGGGGGGGGCAAGCGUUGUUCGGAUUUACUGGGCGUAAAGGGCGCGUAGGCGGCCACCGCAAGUCGGUUGUGAAAUCUCUGGGCUUAACCCAGAAAGGUCAACCGAUACUGCGGGGCUAGAGUGCAGAAGGGGCAACUGGAAUUCUCGGUGUAGCGGUGAAAUGCGUAGAUAUCGAGAGGAACACCUGCGGCGAAGGCGGGUUGCUGGGCUGACACUGACGCUGAAGCGCGAAAGCUAGGGGAGCAAACGGG